ACUGUGGAUACCUCCCAUGAGGACAUGAUUCACGAUGCCCAGAUGGACUACUGUGGCACCUGCCUGGCCAUCUGCUCAUCAGACAUGUCUGUCAGAAUCUUUGGCGUGCGUAGUGGAGGGCAGAUCCUCAUCGCCGACCUCAGAGGUCAUGAGGGUCCUGUGUGGCAAGUGGCCUGGGCUCACCCAGCGUCCUGGCAUCCUGUGACCAGAAAGUCAUUAUCUGGAGAGAAAAAAAUGGCACCUGGGAGAAGAGCCACAAUCAUGCGGGACUCGACUCCUCAGUGAACUCAGUGUGCUGGGCCCCCCAUGACUACAGCCUGAUCCUGGCCUGUGGGAGCUUGGCUGGGGCCAUCUCCCUGCUGACUUACACAGUGGAAGGCCAACAGUAAGUAAAGAAGAUCAACAAUGCUCACACCAUUGGCUGAAAUACCAUCAGCUGGGCCCCAGCUGUUGUACCUGGAAGCCUCACAGACCAGCCACUGGGGCAGAAACCCAAUUACAUGAAGAAAUUUGCAUCAGGUGGCUGUGACAACCUCAUUAAGCUGUGGAAGGAGGAGGAGGACAGUCAGUGGAAGGAGGAGCAGAAGCUGGAAGCGCAGAGUGCCUGGUUUCAAGACGUGGCCUGGGCCCCUUCUGUCGGCCUGCCCACCAGCACCAUCCCCAGCUGCUCCCGGGACGGCCGUGUGUUCAUUGGACCUGUAAAACUGUGAUGGUGCCUCAGGCAACACAUGGUCCCCAAAAUUAAUACACAAGUUCAACGAUGUGGUGUGGUAUGUGAGCUUUUGCAUCACAACCAACAUCCUGGCGGUCUCUGGUGGAGACAAUAAGGUGACCCUGUGGAAGGAGCCAGUUGAUGGGCAGUGGGUAUGCAUCAGUGACAUCAACAAGGGCCAGGGCUCCAUGUCAGCGUCAGUCACAGAGGGCCAGCAGGACAAGCAGUGACAAGACAGAUGGGGCCUGGCUCCCCACCCGCCAGCUCCAGGUCUGUCCCUUCCUGGACCAACUGACCAAACAACUGGGAAGAGCCCCCAACUCCAACAGGAUCAUUUUCCCAGGAGGAGUUCCAGAUGCAGCCACAGGUUGAUCAUCUGCCUUAACACGAUCAGAGAUGCUUUAUAAUCUACUGUCCAGCUGAAAGCACUCAUGUUAUGAGGAAGAAACUACAAAUGACAUUCAAAUCUAUUUUAAACUAUUUUGGGCCAUUUUUAUGUACCUUUGGGUUCAGACCUUAUUUGGGGUGUUUUGUUUUCAAAGUAACUAAAUAAAGUCAUAUUGCUUAUUUAAAAAAAAAAAGAAAGGAAAAAAGAAAAGUAUUUUGCUUAAUUUGAACCAUUUCAAACUUG